rfam:Alligator mississippiensis ScZkoYb_34, whole genome shotgun sequence.
UGGGUUUGACAUCAUCAUACUUGGGAUGUAUGUCACAAAGUCCCAAGAAGGCUGAUGUCAGGCCCA